rnacentral:rRNA from 1 species
UACGUAGGGGGCAAGCGUUGUCCGGAAUUAUUGGGCGUAAAGAGCGUGUAGGCGGUCCGGUAAGUCGGCUGUGAAAGUCCAAGGCUCAACCUUGGGAUGCCGGUGGAUACUGUCGAACUCGAGUCCGGAAGAGGAGUGUGGAAUUCCUGGUGUAGCGGUGAAAUGCGCAGAUAUCAGGAGGAACACCGAUGGCGAAGGCAGCACUCUGGGACGUGACUGACGCUGAGACGCGAAAGCGUGGGGAGCAAACAGG